CCUUUGACUGCCAUCAAAUCUCAAAGACGGUCUGUGGUUGAGAAAAGGACAAAAUCCACAGGUCUGCCAGCCUGACAAGAAGAAGAAACCCCCCCAAACUCAGAACAGCACAAAAACCACAGCUGGGAAAGUAGCACCAAAUCCUCAGAGCACAAACCAGAAAAAAAGGAAGACUGAUGCUGAUGGACCACUGAAGCCCAAACUGAUGAUGACAGAGAAGCAAAGUUUAUUCCUGAAAACACCUGGACUCCACAGUUUGUGAGGUUAAAACUGUUCCUGUCCAGGACGCCAGGAUUACGAUCACAAGAAUCUUAAAGUCCAACACGAUUAACACUCACCUGGAGGCAGAUUUCAACCAGAAGCUGCAGACGUUCUUUAUGACGUCUCGACGUCUAACAGAAGCAUUCGGCAUCAAAUCGGAGGAUGACUUUAAACAGAGGCUGCCGCUGUCAGUAGAAGUAAAAAUACAAGGAAAUAAAAUUACAGAGAUUAAGAAGAUCUACAGUUACGUGUAUUUCAGUAGAAAAGGAACAUGACUUACAUCGAGCACUGCGGCUGAUCACAGGAGAGGUCAGAGUGUGUGGUGUCCACUAACCUUUGGUUGUUUUAUUCUGUAUUUUUAGGGAGGUGUUUUUAUUUGAAGUGCUGGUUUUUAUUGUGUCUACUUUUCCUCUUCUUUAAGGUAAUAAUAAAGAGCCACUGAUGGCAGCUAACCCAC